rnacentral:lncRNA from 1 species
UCAAACAAAAUUCAUAUUCUUUGGAAGGAUUCUUCAAAGCUUCUACUUGAGGUUAAUUCUUUGAUAUGGUGCUUCUUCUUCAUAUUCUCUUUUUGAUGAAGUUCCUUCAUUUGAUCAAGAAUCCUCUGAGGAUCAUUCGACCACUCAGAUUGUUCUUUCAAAUGAGAUUAUUGGAGUCAAUUUCUCUUCAAUAGAGUUCGUUGAUGAAGUUGUUAGAGAGGAUUUUAGAUUUGAGCUCAUGCCUUUAUCCUUUGACAAUUGAAUUAAUU